rnacentral:ncRNA from 1 species
GAAAGCCGUGUGCAAUGAAAAAUGCAAGCACGGCUUGGGGAGAGAUUGUUAAUGAUAUCUAUUAUAUAGUUUUUUAUUAUAUAUUUUUUUUAUUUUCUAAAAAUAAUCUACUCCAU